rnacentral:lncRNA from 1 species
AGGACAUCAAGGGGAUACAAAUUGGGAAGGAAGAAGUCAAAAUAUCACUAUUUGCAGAUGAUAUGAUAGUAUAUAUGUGACCCCAAAAAUUUCACCAGAGAACUCCUAAACCUGAUAAACAGCUUCAGUUCAGUAGCUGAAUAUAAAAUUAACUCAAACAAAUCAAUGGUCUUUCUCUACACAAAGGAUAAACAGACUGAGAAAGAAAUUAGGGAAACAACAACCUUCACAAUAGUCAAAAAUAAUAUAAAAUACCUUGGUGUGACUCUAACUAGGGAAGUGAAAGAUCUGUAUGACAAGAACUUCAAGUCUCUGAAGAAAGUAAUUGAAGAAGAUCUCAGAAGAUGGAAAGAUCUCCCAUGCUCAUGGAUUGGCAGGAUUAAUAUUGUGAUUGCUUUCUUCUCUCUCAUUUGACAAAAUACAACACCUCUUCAUGUUAAAAAUAUUGGAGCGAUCAGGAAUUCAAAGCCCAUACCGAAACACAAUAAAAGCAAUUUACUGCAAACCAAGAGCCAAUAUCAAAUUAAAUGGAGAAAUACUUGAAACAAUCCCACUGAAAUCAGGGACAAGAAAAGGAUGUCCACUCUCCCCAUAUCUAUUCAAUAUAGUGCUCAAAGUGUCAGCUAGAACAAUAAGAUAACAAAAAGAGAUCAAGGGGAUACACACUGGUAAAGAAGAAAUAAAGGUAUUACUAUUUGCAGAUGAUAUGAUAGUAUACAUAAGCAACCCCAAAAGUUCUACCAGAGAACUUCUCCAGCUGAUAAACACCUUCAGCAAAGUAGCUGGAUAUAAAAUUAACUCAAAUAAAUCAGUAGCCUUCCUUUACACAAAGGAUAAACAGGCUGAGAAAGAAAUUAGGGGAAAAAAUUCCCUUCACAAUAGCCACAAAUAGAAUCUUUUUUUUUUUUUUGAAAAGAAUUAUAAAUCUUCAAAGCAUAUAGAGACAUUACCUGACAUGGUCUUAUUCCUCGUUUAUAUUUCAUAACCAUCACCUCUGUUUUAUUUUCAUAAACUCAACUGAUGUGCUGCAAGUUGCGGCUCCAUCGCCACCUGUGUGCAACUUUCCAGAUUAAUGAAUGUGAUGUCAAAGCAAACAGAGGUGGCCUGGGGGUCUUGAGCUAGUAGUGAAACUAAACCACUCAGAGUCACCAAUUUACUUAAGAACAUUGCCCUGCUCUCCUGGGACUCCGUGUUCUCCAGGACUCCUUGAGAGUUUCUGGUUUGGGUUCCCUUUUCUACACUUCUCAGAGGAUGACUAACUUCAAACCACACAUGCCGUUGACUAUAGACAGGGAAACCAGGCAUGGUAGUGUGUGCUGGUGUGUCUUCGAUGUCUCCCCUAACUCCACCAGCUCAAUUAAGAAAACAAAAAACAAAAAACAAAACCCGAAAGACUUUGUGCGACAUGCUCUCCUUUUUCUGCACAUGAACAAAGGAAUCUUCCUUCACUAAUUCUGAAAGUAACUUGUCACAGCGGGGUCCGAGGGCCUAGUCACAUAAUUGUCUUAGUGUGCUGCCUGCUGUGUUCAAUAUUGAGUGGAAAUGGAAGCCAGUCCUGGGCUCCAGCUUAUUUCACAAUUCUUCUGUUAUUUAAAUGAUUUUAGUCAGUUUGGGGGAAGCCAGACCUUUAUAAAUUAACAGCAGGGAAAUACCAAAGGUGUCAGAUUGCAUAUUUAUCAUCUUUUUCGUGUAAUACUUAAAUAUGUAUUAAGAAGUGACUGACAUAAAUUAGGCGGUUUUCAGAAGCCACAGGCCGUGGCUUGUAGAAGACCCCCUUCUGCUUGACAUUUCAUCCUUGUCAAAGAUCAAAUUAUUUUAAUUUAGGCUGCAAAUUAUAAGGAAUGAAGACUUCUUUGUGGGAAUUCCCUGUGGUAAUCUGACUUUUGUUGUUACUGCUGCUUGUCAGUGUGCAAAAGAUAUAAUAUGCAUGCAAAUAAGGUUAAAAAAUAUGUACUAUCUAAUUAUCCAGCCAGUGCGUUCCACUUGAAGACAGUGGGAGGCCUGACACACAGUAUGUGUUUGAUUCAUUGAGGCCUGCAGGGUAUUUACACAAGAUUACUUUUAAUUAUGAAAUUAAUAUCUGUUUAUCUAGAAUAUAUAGCAGUGAGUGAGUAUACACAGGAGCAGAAUUCUUUAGUAAAAAGAAAUGAUCUUAAUUUAAUAUGUAAAAAGGAAGAAAAACGCACUUGUUUCAGGAAAAAAAAAAAAAGAAUCAUAACACCCAGAAAUAGGGUCCUCUUCAGGGAAAAGGAUCGAAUGAAAACUUAGUUCAUUUUGCAGAAGUGUUUCUUCAACAGUGAUGUGGACUAAGAUGUGUGGCUUUGUAACACUGGGCUGGUACUUCCCUGCACACGAAGCAGCUCUAGCUUCAUGGAGAGGGGGCAAACGUGGAGACACACAGGAUUCCAAAUGUUCUGUUGUGGUUUCUAUGGGGUAUUGCCUCUUCAAAGACUGAAAGUCAGGGUUUUCUUGAGGAUUUUAGUUAGUGUUUAAGUUAGUGAUGACCUUAUUAUUGUAGGACAAUAGGUGGUAGCAACCCUUUAAAGAAAAACGGCUACUUUUAAAAUGCUUGUCCCUAAAAGAGCACUUUGAAAGUAUUUCAAUUUGUUAUGUAUUGUUUUCCUUAGCUUACAAUAGAGUAUGGAAGAAUAAUAUUUGUGAUAGUAAUAAUGACUGUCACUUUGGAAAAUAUAAAUCAGAAUAAAAAAUAAACAAGUUAUCACUUCACAAAAUAAAGAAGAGAGAGAGAGAGAGAAUAAGGGUUGGAGAUAAGUGGUUAAAAGCCUUUAUUGCUCUAUCAGAAAAUCCAGGUUAGAUCUCCAGUGCCCACGCAUGUUAGUCAGGUCACAGUCACCCGUAAUUCUCCCACAAUGAAUCGGAUGCCCUCUCCUGGACUUCACAGGCACCUGUACACACACACACACACACACUUGCAUGUGCACACACACACACUCGCAUGCACAUACCAGCCCUACAGAAUAAUCUCCUAAUCCUCCACACAAAUCCAUCAAUAUUAAUAAACAGAAAGUUUAAAAAGUGUAAAAAAUCUGACCUGUCUGGCUGUAUAAAAUGGCAAUUGGUUAACCACAUUUGUAACAUGGGGAAAAAAAACCCAAUCUUUCAGGUUCUAUCAUCCAACAAGUAAGCAACAUUGGCUGGAGAAUCCUUGAACUGCUCCUGCUGACAUCUCCCUCACUCCAUUCUGUCUGUCUUCCACAUUCAUCUGGACAGCCAUGCCUCUCCUUACUUCUCAUGUGCUUAGAAUGUGAAUUCAUACUCACUCCGAAGUAACUGGGAUUUCUGGGAUCGCCAUUUGGGACUGAGUUCACUUUUCCUUUAUAAACAUCUAUCAAUAUAUUUCAUUUCUUGCC